rnacentral:lncRNA from 1 species
GCCUUCUCCAUGGAGUGUGGACAGACAUGACACAGUGCGGGCUCCUGGCCUGGGCCUUAGAAGGCCUCGUGUAUUUCUGCUCAACUCUCUGGGAGCUUCUGACCUUCACCUUGAGAAGAACACACCCCAGGCUGGGGGACCGUGGGAUCCAGGCCCUCCUCCACCGGCCACCGCAGUCACCACUGCUCCGAAGCCAUAGGAUGUCCAAGGGCCUUCUAACCCCACAGCCAUGCAGUGCCCCAAGCAGAAGUGAGAACACUUUUCUUCCUCCUUCUCUGUCUCACUAGAAUCCCAGAGACGUCUAAGGAAGAUUAGCCCUGAGCUAACAUCUGCUGCCAAUCCUCCUCUUUUCGCUGAGGAAGACUGGCCCCAAGCUAAUGUCCGUGCCCAUCUUCCACUACUUUAUAUGUGGGAUGCCUGCAACAGCACGGCUUAACAAUCAGUGCAUUGGUCUGCACCCCGGAUCUGAACCAGCAAACCCCG